rnacentral:rRNA from 1 species
UACGUAGGGGGCUAGCGUUGUCCGGAAUCAUUGGGCGUAAAGCGCGUGUAGGCGGUCCGGUAAGUCCGCUGUGAAAGUCGGGGGCUCAACCCUCGGAUGCCGGUGGAUACUGUCGGGCUCGAGUCCGGAAGAGGAGUGUGGAAUUCCUGGUGUAGCGGUGAAAUGCGCAGAUAUCAGGAGGAACACGAAUGGCGAAGGCAGCACUCUGGGACGUGACUGACGCUGAGACGCGAAAGCGUGGGGAGCAAACAGG